ACGGAAGGCAGCAGUGGGGAAUAUUGCACAAUGGGCGAAAGCCUGAUGCAGCGACGCCGCGUGAGUGAAGAAGUAUCUCGGUAUGUAAAGCUCUAUCAGCAGGGAAGAAAAUGACGGUACCUGACUGAGAAGCCCCGGCUAACUACGUGCCAGCAGCCGCGGUAAUACGUAGGGGGCAAGCGUUAUCCGGAUUUACUGGGUGUAAAGGGAGCGUAGACGGUUUGGCAAGUCUGAAGUGAAAUGCGGGGGCUCAACUCCUGAACUGCUUUGGAAACUGUCGAACUAGAGUGCAGGAGAGGUAAGUGGAAUUCCUAGUGUAGCGGUGAAAUGCGUAGAUAUUAGGAGGAACACCAGUGGCGAAGGCGGCUUACUGGACUGUAACUGACGUUGAGGCUCGAAAGCGUGGGGAGCAAACAGGAUUAGAUACCCUGGUA
rnacentral:rRNA from 2 species